AGGUCUGGCAGAACUGAUGAUGAGAGUCUGACGGAGCACGCCGCGUGAGUGAUGAAGGCUUUCGGGUCGUAAAACUCUGUUGUUAGGGAAGAACAAGUACGAGAGUAACUGCUCGUACCUUGACGGUACCUAACCAGAAAGCCACGGCUAACUACGUGCCAGCAGCCGCGGUAAUACGUAGGUGGCAAGCGUUAUCCGGAAUUAUUGGGCGUAAAGCGCGCGCAGGCGGUUUCUUAAGUCUGAUGUGAAAGCCCACGGCUCAACCGUGGAGGGUCAUUGGAAACUGGGGAACUUGAGUGCAGAAGAGAAAAGCGGAAUUCCACGUGUAGCGGUGAAAUGCGUAGAGAUGGGAGGAACACCAGUGGCGAAGGCGGCUUUUUGGUCUGUAACUGACGCUGAGGCGCGAAAGCGUGGGGAGCAAACAGGAUUAGAUACCCCGGUAGUCAUUU
rnacentral:rRNA from 2 species